AGUAGGUACAGUGAACUCUAAACAAUAAAAUAACUGUUUCCAACACAGUGAGAUGAUUAUAAACUAGAAAUGAUACAAAUUGCUUGCACUAGAAGAUUAAAACUGAGAAUUAUUCUUACAAAUCAAUCUAUCUCCAGUUUACAUUAUAUAUUACUAUAUUAUUAAAAUCUUGGAAUGAUAAGCAACAAAAAAUUGGCGAACUAUGAUAAAUGAACAUCUAAAUCACAAGAUCCCAAAUUUAAAAAGAAAGACAAUUAAAAAUGGAUUAAAGAAUGCAUGGUCAAAUAUAAAAGAGAAAAAAAUUAUUUCGAAAAUAAUGGGGACCAAACACUGCUUAAGAACCUAUGGGAGAGGUCUUAAUAACUAUGACUUCUAGAGCAGAGGGUAACUUAAGUAUACCGAGAAGAAAAAUGUCCAUGUCUUUGGAUUAAGUUCUUCCAACGUGUUUUCAUUUGUCUCAAUCUAACUCCAUAAGACAAAAAUUAGCAUCAAGUACUAUGGUCAAUAAUUAACCUAACGAAGUUUGCAUAAAAAAAUGCUGACUAGACAAAAAUUAUUAACGAGACACAGUUCGAUGACAGGAAAUGAGACACAGUUCAAUGAUAGGGGCUCCUCUGUACAAGUUUUUUUUCAAUUUUCUGACCGGUUACCUGUUUCUCUUCCAUUUUUCUUUGCAAUUCCUCCCAGUUAUUCGAACUAGCAUUUUUUCUGCUUCCCCCAUGCUCUUUUCUUCGCAUAAUCCACAAACAAAGUGUUGUAUGUCACAAAAUUACAUGCCACUCCUCCCUCCCGCAUUUCAUCAAACAGUUCAUAGGCUUUGCUCAUCUUACCAUCCUUGCAAUGCUCAUACAUCACAGAAACAGAAUUGCAAGUAGACAAGUCGGGCAAAGCCCCAUCAAGCUUCAUCUUCUCAUAGAGCUCGAAUCCAUCUCUUUUAAGUCCUUUCUUAAAGAGCCCAUUUAUCAAAACAGCUUAAGUGUACAGAUUAGCAACCAAACCCAGCUCUUCCAUUUUACAGAACAAUUCCUUUACCUUUUCAACUUCACCAUUCUUACAACACCCAUCAAUCAACACUGUGUAUUGUGUAGACAACACCACCCAUUAACUAUCAAGUCAAGCAGAGACGGAGUAGAGAAAAAAUUGACAUGGUACAGAGAACAUGAAAUUGAAAAAAAUGAUAUUAAAAAAACUGGAUUAUGAAAUGGGUUGUAAUAUGACAAAUCCAAGGGGGUAAAAAUUUGCUUUGUUGGGGGUCAUUACAGAUGAGAAAAAUUCUGGAAUCCAUGUUCCAUUCCACAUCCAAACACGUGGAAUCUCAAAAUCAAGAAAAACAAAAACAAAAUUGGAAUCUGCAACUUGAAAUAAAGAGAAUCGACAAGAUUGAUUAAAAAAGAAUUGCUUUGUACUCAAUCUAAUUAAGAAUUAAUACUCAAUCUAAUUAAGAAUUAAACAUAUAGAAAUCAAAUAUGAUGAUUUGAUUGUUAAACUAACCUCAAUCUAUGCAGUCACAGCCUCGUUGCCAACCUUUUGCAGUGAUUUCCCCAGAGGCAGAUCUGGAAGCAGAGAAGGGUCGUCGAUUUCUUCUUCCUGGUUCAGUUGAAUCGAUGAGAGAGACGGUAGUGAUUUGUACGCGGGUAGAGAGAGAGAGAGAUUAACGUGGGUUGGU
rnacentral:lncRNA from 1 species